CACCCUGUGACUGACUCUAGAUAGCCUGUAGGUUUGUUUUCAUGAAGACAGAUGCAGAAUUGUGUCAGUGAUGACUCUGUGUAGGAUGCCACUCUGCAUGUCACUUAGAAACGUCCUCGUUAUGAUUAUGCGUGUUAUAAUAGGAAUGACUUUUCAACUUAAAAUGGUGUAGCCCAGAAA